rnacentral:rRNA from 1 species
CGCUGGCGGCAGGCCUAACACAUGCAAGUCGAGCGGUAGAGAGAAGCUUGCUUCUCUUGAGAGCGGCGGACGGGUGAGUAAUGCCUAGGAAUCUGCCUGGUAGUGGGGGAUAACGUUCGGAAACGGACGCUAAUACCGCAUACGUCCUACGGGAGAAAGCAGGGGACCUUCGGGCCUUGCGCUAUCAGAUGAGCCUAGGUCGGAUUAGCUAGUUGGUGAGGUAAUGGCUCACCAAGGCGACGAUCCGUAACUGGUCUGAGAGGAUGAUCAGUCACACUGGAACUGAGACACGGUCCAGACUCCUACGGGAGGCAGCAGUGGGGAAUAUUGGACAAUGGGCGAAAGCCUGAUCCAGCCAUGCCGCGUGUGUGAAGAAGGUCUUCGGAUUGUAAAGCACUUUAAGUUGGGAGGAAGGGUUGUAGAUUAAUACUCUGCAAUUUUGACGUUACCGACAGAAUAAGCACCGGCUAACUCUGUGCCAGCAGCCGCGGUAAUACAGAGGGUGCAAGCGUUAAUCGGAAUUACUGGGCGUAAAGCGCGCGUAGGUGGUUUGUUAAGUUGGAUGUGAAAUCCCCGGGCUCAACCUGGGAACUGCAUUCAAAACUGACUGACUAGAGUAUGGUAGAGGGUGGUGGAAUUUCCUGUGUAGCGGUGAAAUGCGUAGAUAUAGGAAGGAACACCGAUGGCGAAGGCGACCACCUGGACUAAUACUGACACUGAGGUGCGAAAGCGUGGGGA